UACCAGCACCCCGAGUGGUCGGGACGUUUAUUGGGCCUAAAGCAUCCGUAGCCGGUUCUACAAGUCUUCCGUUAAAUCCACCUGCUUAACAGAUGGGCUGCGGAAGAUACUAUAGAGCUAGGAGGCGGGAGAGGCAAGCGGUACUCGAUGGGUAGGGGUAAAAUCCGUUGAUCCAUUGAAGACCACCAGUGGCGAAGGCGGCUUGCCAGAACGCGCUCGACGGUGAGGGAUGAAAGCUGGGGGAGCAAACAGGG
rnacentral:rRNA from 1 species